ensembl:lncRNA
AUGGCCGCCUCGCUUCGCGUUCCUAGGAAACUAUGCAGUUUUUUGUUUUUUUACGUGUUAUUUCUUACAUUAGUACCCCAGGUCAUCUUAGGUUUCAUUACAUACAGUCGAGAAGAACUACUGAAUAUAAGAUCAGCGUCAACUCACCAUCAGUACGACCAAGAAUAUGUUUUUCGCGACGCGGAUCCUGUGUUCUGCCUUACAAACAGGACAACGAAGUGGAUCCCAUGCAGCGACCCAAAAAAACGACUCCGAAAAAGAGGGAAACGAGGCGGUCUUCUGGUCAAACUCCGGAGACGGGCACACCGUGCACCACUCCCUAGCAUUCUUCUUGCCAAUGUUCAGUCUCUUGACAACAAGGUUGAUGAAAUCCGAGCAAGGGUAGCAUUCCAGAGGGACAUCAGAGACUGUAACGUUCUUUGCUUCACGGAAACGUGGCUCAAUGGAGAGACGCUAUCCGAGGCGGUGCAGCCAACGGGUUUCUCCAUGCAUCGCGCAGACAGAAACAAACAUCUUUCUGGUAAGAAGAGGGGCGGGGGCGUAUGCCUUAUGACUAACGUGACAUGGUGUGAUGAAAGAAACAUACAGGAACUCAAAUCCUUCUGUUCACCUGAUUUAGAAUUCCUCACAAUCAAAUGUAGACCGCAUUAUCUACCAAGAGAAUUCUCUUCGAUUAUAAUCACAGCCGUAUAUAUCCCCCCCCAAGCAGACACAUUGAUGGCUCUGAAUGAACUUUAUUUGACUCUUUGCAAACUGGAAAACAUUUAUCCGGAGGAUGCAUUCAUUGUAGCUGGGGAUUUUAACAAGGCUAAUCUGAAAACAAGACUCCCUAAAUUUUAUCAGCAUAUCGAUUGCGCAACCAGGGGUGGAAAGACCUUGGAUCAUUGUUACUCUAACUUCCGCGACGCAUAUAAGGCCCUGCCCCGCCCCCCUUUCGGAAAAGCUGACCACGACUCCAUUUUGUUGAUCCCUGCCUACAGACAGAAACUAAAACAAGAGGAUCCCACGCUGAGGUCUGUCCAACGCUGGUCCGACCAAGCUGACUCCACACUCCAAGACUGCUUCCAUCACGUGGACUGGGACAUGUUUCGUAUUGCAUCAGACAACAACAUUGACGAAUACGCUGAUUCGGUGUGCGAGUUCAUUAGAACGUGCGUUGAAGAUGUCGUUCCCAUAGCAACGAUUAAAACAUUCCCUAACCAGAAACCGUGGAUUGAUGGCAGCAUUCGCGUGAAACUGAAAGCGCGAACCACUGCUUUUAAUCAGGGCAAGGUGUCUGGUAACAUGACCGAAUACAAACAGUGCAGCUAUUCCCUCCGCAAGGCUAUCAAACAAGCUAAGCGUCAGUACAGAGACAAAGUAGAAUCUCAAUUCAACGGCUCAGACACAAGAGGCAUGUGGCAGGGUCUACAGUCAAUCACGGACUACAGGAAGAAAUCCAGCCCAGUCACGGACCAGGAUGUCCUGCUCCCAGGCAGACUAAAUAACUUUUUUGCCCGCUUUGAGGACAAUACAGUGCCACCGACACGGCCUGCAACGAAAACAUGUGGUCUCUCCUUCACUGCAGCCGAGGUGAGUAAGACAUUUAAACGUGUUAACCCUCGCAAGGCUGCAGGCCCAGACGGCAUCCCCAGCCGCGCCCUCAGAGCAUGCGCAGACCAGCUGGCCGGUGUGUUUACGGACAUAUUCAAUCAAUCCCUAUACCAGUCUGCUGUUCCCACAUGCUUCAAGAGGGCCACCAUUGUUCCUGUUCCCAAGAAAGCUAAGGUAACUGAGCUAAACGACUACCGCCCCGUAGCACUCACUUCCGUCAUCAUGAAGUGCUUUGAGAGACUAGUCAAGGACCAUAUCACCUCCACCCUACCUGACACCCUAGACCCACUCCAAUUUGCUUACCGCCCAAAUAGGUCCACAGACGAUGCAAUCUCAACCACACUGCACACUGCCCUAACCCAUCUGGACAAGAGGAAUACCUAUGUGAGAAUGCUGUUCAUUGACUACAGCUCAGCAUUCAACACCAUAGUACCCUCCAAGCUUCGUCAUCAAGCUCGAGACCCUGGGUCUCGACCCCGCCCUGUGCAACUGGGUACUGGACUUCCUGACGGGCCGCCCCCAGGUGGUGAGGGUAGGCAACAACAUCUCCUCCCCGCUGAUCCUCAACACUGGGGCCCCACAAGGGUGCGUUCUGAGCCCUCUCCUGUACUCCCUGUUCACCCACGACUGCGUGGCCACGCACGGCUCCAACUCAAUCAUCAAGUUUGCGGACGACACAACAGUGGUAGGCUUAAUUACCAACAACGACGAGACGGCCUACAGGGAGGAGGUGAGGGCCCUCGGAGAAGUGGUGUCAGGAAAAUAACCUCACACUCAACGUCAACAAAACUAAGGAGAUGA